AUUGCCUCAGAAUAACCAGAUGGUGCAAAUAAAAAACAAAAAACGCCGUGUGGUUCAGACAGGGGCACACAGUAAUCUGAAUCUGUUUGAGGGUAAGGAACGCCUCUUCUCUUUUACUGUUCCUUUCCUAGAUGGCUUCAAACAUUC